CGAACGCUGGCGGCGUGCUUAACACAUGCAAGUCGAACGGUGAAGCGCCUUCCUUUUUGGUGGGUGUGGAUGAGUGGCGAACGGGUGAGUAACACGUGAGUAACCUGCCCCCUUCUUCUGGAUAACCGCAUGAAAGUGUGGCUAAUACGGGAUAUUCUGGUUCUGUCGCAUGAUGGGUCUGGGAAAGAUAUUGUUUCGGUGGGGGAUGGGCUCGCGGCCUAUCAGCUUGUUGGUGGGGUGAUGGCCUACCAAGGCGGUGACGGGUAGCCGGCCUGAGAGGGUGGACGGUCACACUGGGACUGAGACACGGACCAGACUCCUACGGGAGGCAGCAGUGGGGAAUAUUGCACAAUGGGCGCAAGCCUGAUGCAGCGACGCCGCGUGAGGGAUGGAGGCCUGCGGGUUGUGAACCUCUUUCGCCAGUGAAGCAGGCCUGCCUCGUUUGUGGGUGGGUUGACGGUAGCUGGAUAAGAAGCGCCGGCUAACUACGUG
rnacentral:rRNA from 1 species